rnacentral:pre_miRNA from 1 species
AGAGGGAUAGCUGGGUCAAAUGGUGUUUCCAUUCCCAAAUGUCCAAGGAAUCUCCAUUCUGCUUUCUAUAUUGGCUGCACCAAUUUGCAGUCCCACCAGCAAU